rnacentral:rRNA from 1 species
UACGUAGGGACCAAGCGUUGUUCGGAUUCACUGGGCGUAAAGGGCACGUAGGCGGCUCAGCAAAUCAGUCGUGGAAUCCCGACGCUUACCGUCGGAACGGCGGCUGAAAAUACUGGGCUUGAGGGCGUGAGGGGUCACUGGAACUCCCGGUGAAGCGGUGAAAUGCGUAGAUAUCGGGAGGAACGCCGGAGGCGAAAGCGAGUGACUGGCGCGUUCCUGACGCUGAGGUGCGAAAGCUAGGGGAGCAAACAGG